GUCCCAGUAGCUCAGUUGGAUAGAGCACGAGCCUUCUAAGCCCGGGGUCAGGAGUUCGAGCCUCUUCUGGGACGCCA
rnacentral:tRNA from 1 species